AUACAGGAUGGCAUUGUGCACUCUCCCUACAAGCAAUCCGAGACAGUGCUGUUGUCAUUUGCUGAAUACCUCACAGAAAAACUUCAACCUCACGGAAACAGAAUUGCACUGACCGAUGGAGAGAGGAGCGUUACCUACAAAGAACUUCUGAAGAAAUUUCGUUGCUGCGCCGCCAUGUUUCAAGCUCACAAUGUAGGUCCUGGUGACAAAGUCUACUGUCAUUUCGCAAACAGCAUCGAUGGUUUUGUGGCGCUCUACAGCAUCGGCAUGACCGGGGCUACCGUUGUCCUGAGUGACCCAGAAUACAAAGAAGGAGAGGUUCAAGAGCACAUGAAAAACUGUGACGCUACACACGUGGUGACUGACCUUUGCCAUUCCAUCAAGUUCAGUCCUAGAGACCAAGGAACUAGCAUAAAGGCAUAUUUUGCUGUUGGUGACGUGCCUGGAUUUAUUUCAAUUUCUAACUUUGACACAUAUAAUGAAGAGGAUUACCAGGAGGUGAGAAGGUGCCCCGGACGCAUCCUGGUCAUGACAUACACCUCUGGUACAACUGGUCAAACCAAAAACGUUGAAAUCGCGGAAAAUCGAUUUCUUCAGAAAGCCUGCGG
rnacentral:lncRNA from 1 species